UACGGAGGGUGCAACCGUUGCUCGGAAUCAUUGGGCGUAAAGCGCACGUAGGCGGCCUGAUAAGUCGGGUGUGAAAGCCCUGGGCUCAACCCAGGAAGUGCACUCGAAACUGUCAGGCUUGAAUAUGGAAGAGGGUCGCGGAAUUCCCGGUGUAGAGGUGAAAUUCGUAGAUAUCGGGAGGAACACCAGUGGCGAAGGCGGCGACCUGGGCCAAUAUUGACGCUGAGGUGCGAAAGCGUGGGGAGCAAACAGG
rnacentral:rRNA from 1 species